UACGUAGGUGACAAGCGUUGUCCGGAUUUACUGGGCGUAAAGAGCGCGCAGGCGGUCGAUCAAGUCGAGUGUGAAAGCCCCCGGCUCAACUGGGGAGGGUCAUUCGAUACUGAUCGACUCGAAGGCAGGAGAGGGUAGUGGAAUUCCCGGUGUAGUGGUGAAAUGCGUAGAUAUCGGGGAGGAACACCAGUGGCGAAGGCGACUACCUGGCCUGUUCUUGACGCUGAGGCGCGAAAGCUAGGGGAGCAAACGGG
rnacentral:rRNA from 1 species